AUACGUAGGGGGCGAGCGUUGUCCGGAUUUAUUGGGCGUAAAGAGCUCGUAGGCGGCUUAGCAAGUCGGCCGUGAAAGUCCGAGGCUCAACCUCGGAAAGCCGGUCGAAACUGCUAUGGCUAGGGUCCGGUAGAGGAGAGUGGAAUUCCCGGUGUAGCGGUGAAAUGCGCAGAUAUCGGGAGGAACACCAGUAGCGAAGGCGGCUCUCUGGGCCGGUACCGACGCUGAGGAGCGAAAGCGUGGGGAGCAAACAGGAUUAGAAACCCCAGUAGUCC
rnacentral:rRNA from 1 species